rnacentral:lncRNA from 1 species
GCCACCCCGUCUGGGAAGUAAGGAGCGUCUCUGCCUGGCCGCCCAUCGUCUGGGAUAUGAGGAGCCCCUCUGCCUGGCUGCCCAGUCUGGAAAGUGAGGAGCAUCUCUGCCCGGCCGCCAUCCCAUCUAGAAGUGAGGAGCGCCUCUUCCCGGCCGGCCGCCAUCACAUCUAGGAAGUGAGAAGCGUCUCUGCCCGGCCGCCCAUCGUCUGAGAUGUGGGGAGCGCCUCUGUCCCGCCGCCCCGUCUGGGAGGUGAGGAGCGCCUCUGCCCGGCCGCGACCCCGUCUGGGAGGUGAAGAGCGUCUCUGCCCGGCCGCCCCGUCUGAGAAGUGAGGAGCCCCUCCGCCCGGCAGCCGCCCUGUCUGAGAAGUGAGGAGCCUCUCCGCCCGGCAGCCACCCCGUCUGGGAAGUGAGGAGCGUCUCCGCCUGGCAGCCACCCCGUCCGGGAGGGAGGUGGGGGGGUCAGCCCCCUGCCUGGCCAGCCGCCCCGUCCGGGAGGGAGGUGGGGGGGGGUCAGCCCCCCGCCCGGCCGGCCGCCCCGUCCGGGAGGUGAGGGGCGCCUCUGCCCGGCCGCCCCUACUGGGAAGUGAGGAGCCCCUCUGCCCGGCCAGCCGCCCCGUCCGGGAGGGAGAAAUCAUCCAUGACUUCCUGCAAUGGAAGAUGAGGACACAGCUAAGUAUGAACAUUCAUCUUUUGAGGGCCACACAGGCACAAAUGUUACAGCUACAAGAGGAAAGAAGGUCACAACUGAGGAAAAGGGGCUGAGGGAACUCAAAAAAUACUGCAACUGGCAACAGAGACCACCAUCAAGGGAUAAAAUUACUUCAGCACCUACACACAAAACGCAGAGCAGCUGGAGAAAGGGGCAUGGGAAAAAAAGGCUGCUCAAGAGCAAACCUGAAGACCCUGUUUAUUAGCCAUUUCUCUCCCUGCAAGUGACUGGCAAUCCAUUUUGACUGAACUUGGGAUUCUGAGAUGCUCCGAAUGCCCUCUCUGGUGUUUUUACAGUUGAGGGGAGAAGAGGGUCUGUUCUCCAGGUAAUCUAACACCUCAAGGCUCUGGAUGAUGCAUUAUGCAUGGUUCAUGCAAGACACUGCAGAAAUCCAAUCAGGAGAUGCACACAAGAAAAAACCUUGGCCCUACAUCAAAACAGUAGCAACAAAUGUGGAGUCCUGAGAACUAGUUGCCCCUGGGCUAUGGAGAAAGGGAGCUAAUAAAAUGACCAUGGUGGCAUCAUCAUCAAUAUAGGAACCCGGUGAAUGACUACAUUCGGAUCGCCUUCCUACCAGGGAGACAUAGAUUCACAGCUACAAAUGCCUAAAAAUAGGUAAACGUUUUAUUUCCAUUUUUUAAAAUUCAUCAAUCUUCCCUCCAUUUUCUAUUUGUCACCAGUCACUCUAGCAACAGAAACAAAAUGUUGUUUCCUCCAAGGCCCCUCUAGCUCUUGGUGUUUAUUCCUCAAUAUCCGUGGCCAUAAUCCUCAGGCUGAUGACAUCAGUUGUAUCUGAGGGGCCAGCCGUGAGGCUAGAAGGUGGGAACGUGGAAACUGCUAAAGGAACUUGUGCACAUGGCCUUCGAUAGGUGGCGGAAGAGAAGGGGAAGCUUCCCGAGGUUCCUGAGGAAGGAAGCCAGACUGGUGGGGUAAAAGCAGGCCCUGAGGAACACCCGGCAGUAUGACUCAUUUGGAGAAUACAGAACUAAGUAGGUGGUAGAAACUGCUCAGAGCCGUCCUCAGCCUCAGGCUCACAAUGUGUGGCACACUGCAGGACACGGCGUCACCUUGUAAAGGUUCCCUGGGAUUCGCUAACCCAAGGGCAGAGGUUUGCUUUUUGGGGGGUUAACAACUCAGUAUAGACCAAACAGCAUAUUGGCCAGGCAUUCUCUGCCACCAGAAGAAAAGUUAAGUUUUCUUCUUACUCAAAGGCAUACUCUGGUCCCAACUACUUUCCACCAAAGUGAAACUGGGGUCAAGGGCCAAAGAAGCCUCUCCGUUAUCCUCUCCCUGCAAUACACUUGAAACAAUACAAUGAAUGCACAAUACCAAGAAUGGCCUGCUGGACACAUCUCAUGCUGACUGGCACAUCCUACAGGAAAGCUCAUGUCCUCCCCACAACCCCCACACUGGCGUUCACACCUUGGCCCUACUGGAGCGGUUUUUUUUUUGGUUUUUUUUUUUACUUUCCUCUUCACUAAGACGAAGUAGAAGGAAAAAAAG